rnacentral:rRNA from 1 species
GAGGGGUGUAAGCGUUAUUCGGAAUUACUGGGCGUAAAGGGUGCGUAGACGGCGCAUUAAGUCUGUUGUUAAAUUUUUCGGCCUAACCGAAAAGCCGCGACGGAAACUGGUGUGCUAGAGAAUGAGAGAGAGAAGUGGAAUUCCCGGAGUAGCGGUAAAAUGCGUGGAUCUCGGGAGGAACACCAAUGGCGAAGGCAGCUUCUUGGCUCAUUUCUGACGUUGAGGCACGAAAGCGUGGGGAGCAAACAGGAUUAGAUACCCUGGGUAGUCCACGCCGUAAACGAUAAUCACUAGACGUUAGUCCGGCUUUGCUGGAUUAGUGUCGUAGCUAACGCGUUAAGUGAUUCGCCUGGGGAGUACGAUCGCAAGAUUAA